rnacentral:rRNA from 1 species
AUGAACGCUGGCGGCGUGCCUAAUACAUGCAAGUCGAGCGAACGGACGAGAAGCUUGCUUCUCUGAUGUUAGCGGCGGACGGGUGAGUAACACGUGGAUAACCUACCUAUAAGACUGGGAUAACUUCGGGAAACCGGAGCUAAUACCGGAUAAUAUUUUGAACCGCAUGGUUCAAAAGUGAAAGACGGUCUUGCUGUCACUUAUAGAUGGAUCCGCGCUGCAUUAGCUAGUUGGUAAGGUAACGGCUUACCAAGGCAACGAUGCAUAGCCGACCUGAGAGGGUGAUCGGCCACACUGGAACUGAGACACGGUCCAGACCCCUACGGGAGGCAGCAGUAGGGAAUCUUCCGCAAUGGGCGAAAGCCUGACGGAGCAACGCCGCGUGAGUGAUGAAGGUCUUCGGAUCGUAAAACUCUGUUAUUAGGGAAGAACAUAUGUGUAAGUAACUGUGCACAUCUUGACGGUACCUAAUCAGAAAGCCACGGCUAACUACGUG